rnacentral:rRNA from 1 species
CAGUCGCCGCGGGAAUACGUAGGGUGCGAGCGUUAAUCGGAAUUACUGGGCGUAAAGCGUGCGUAGGCGGUGAGUUAAGUCUGCUGUGAAAUCCCCGGGCUCAACCUGGGAAUGGCAGUGGAUACUGGCUCGCUAGAGUGUGUCAGAGGAUGGUGGAAUUCCCGGUGUAGCGGUGAAAUGCGUAGAGAUCGGGAGGAACAUCAGUGGCGAAGACGGCCAUCUGGGACAACACUGACGCUGAGGCACGAAAGCGUGGGGAGCAAACAGGAUUAGAUACCCCCGUAGUCCCUGUCUCUUAUAC